rnacentral:rRNA from 1 species
UAAUGCCUAGGAAUCUGCCUGGUAGUGGGGGAUAACGUCCGGAAACGGACGCUAAUACCGCAUACGUCCUACGGGAGAAAGCAGGGGACCUUCGGGCCUUGCGCUAUCAGAUGAGCCUAGGUCGGAUUAGCUAGUUGGUGGGGUAAUGGCUCACCAAGGCGACGAUCCGUAACUGGUCUGAGAGGAUGAUCAGUCACACUGGAACUGAGACACGGUCCAGACUCCUACGGGAGGCAGCAGUGGGGAAUAUUGGACAAUGGGCGAAAGCCUGAUCCAGCCAUGCCGCGUGUGUGAAGAAGGUCUUCGGAUUGUAAAGCACUUUAAGUUGGGAGGAAGGGCAGUAAAUUAAUACUUUGCUGUUUUGACGUUACCGACAGAAUAAGCACCGGCUAACUCUGUGCCAGCAGCCGCGGUAAUACAGAGGGUGCAAGCGUUAAUCGGAAUUACUGGGCGUAAAGCGCGCGUAGGUGGUUCGUUAAGUUGGAUGUGAAAUCCCCGGGCUCAACCUGGGAACUGCAUUCAAAACUGACGAGCUAGAGUAUGGUAGAGGGUGGUGGAAUUUCCUGUGUAGCGGUGAAAUGCGUAGAUAUAGGAAGGAACACCAGUGGCGAAGGCGACCACCUGGACUGAUACUGACACUGAGGUGCGAAAGCGUG